UACGUAGGGUGCGAGCGUUGUCCGGAAUUAUUGGGCGUAAAGAGCUCGUAGGCGGUCUGUCGCGUCGGUCGUGAAAACUUGGGGCUUAACCCUGAGCUUGCGGUCGAUACGGGCAUGACUGGAGUUCGGCAGGGGAGACUGGAAUUCCUGGUGUAGCGGUGGAAUGCGCAGAUAUCAGGAGGAACACCGGUGGCGAAGGCGGGUCUCUGGGCCGAUACUGACGCUGAGGAGCGAAAGCGUGGGGAGCAAACAGG
rnacentral:rRNA from 1 species